AUGAGUCAGGCAUAAAAAUUUAACGCUCGAUGGAAUCACUGGCAACGAGGAAAUGUAAUUACAUCGUGUGAGAAGGUGCGUUCCGUGCGCGACGAUCAACGAAUCAACGAGGAACGUGAGACAGGAAUCACGCAUCGUGGGGCAAUGCUAAAAGAAAAGACGAAACACGUGUUUCUGGAAGAAAUGUUUCUGGAGUUGCCGGAAUCCGUCUUAACGACCCGCCGCGCUUCCUACCGUGCAUAAUUCAUCGGUGACUCGAAAUCCUCGACGGCUACAGCGGGCACGUACGAUCUGCAAUCUCCUUUGGUCCGUGUUCUGCUGAAUAGAAAAUCAAUCCUUGUCCGUUACAACAUCUUUACAACAUCGGGGCCCGUUGAGAACACUGGUCGAACAAUUAUCUUCGAGAAAACGUCCUACGAUCAUUCGUCAUUUCGUACCUUCGACCUUUUUCGAAAAUUUUGUCUUCGGUAAUUUGUAAGAAGAAGGUUUCUCGAGAGAAACUUUCAGAUCUUAAUAAAACUCAAAUUGUUUCGAAUAUUUCCGUUUCUUUCUGUUUGAAAUGAUAGUACACAUAAUUACUGUUAAAUGU